AAUUUUCCUAAAUAUCUCAAAAUAAGAAAAAUAAAUACAAAAAAUUGUAUAGAAAUCUCAUAUUAAUCUUGAAUCUUGUCGCUAUCAUAAUACGUGAAGUCUUGCUUGAGAAUGCUUUGGGCACUUGGCUGUGGAAGGUAGAAUAGAAAUUACAACAACAAAAUCCUAACUCUAAUAGAAUACUAACUAAACUCUAAUUAGAUCAUAACAACACUAAGCAAGCUUUAAUCAAAUUCAAAGAAACUUCAAAGGAAUUACAAAGAAAAAAUAAGAAAUCUUAAAGAAAUAAUAGAAUGAUCACAAAUAUAUAUCAAAUACAUCUCAAUUCAAUCUUAAUUUAAUCUUAGUUAAAAUCCUAUUGGACUACAUUCAAACUUUAGGCCAAAAACUAACUAAAUCUUAAAUCCUAAAUAAAUCCUAAUAAAAUCCUAAAUCUUAAAUCAAAUCCUAAAAAAACCCUAAAUCAAACCCUAAUCAAAUCCUAAUUAAAUCCUAAAUUCUAAAUCAAAUCCUAGUAAUUUCUACAACAGAUUUAAACCUCAUUUAUUAAUGAAUGAACCGUUGAU
rnacentral:lncRNA from 1 species